AAUAGAUACCCCGGUAGUCCACGCCCUAAACGAUGUCUACUAGUUGUCGGGGAUUAAUUUCCUUGGUAACGCAGCUAACGCGGGAAGUAGACCGCCUGGGGAGUACGGUCGCAAGAUUAAAACUCAAAGGAAUUGACGGGGACCCGCACAAGCGGUGGAUGAUGUGGAUUAAUUCGAUGCAACGCGAAAAACCUUACCUACGCUUGACAUGUCCGGAAUCCUGCAGAGAUGUGGGAGUGCCCGAAAGGGAGCCGGAACACAGGUGCUGCAUGGCUGUCGUCAGCUCGUGUCGUGAGAUGUUGGGUUAAGUCCCGCAACGAGCGCAACCCUUAUCAUUAGUUGCUACGCAAGGGCACUCUAAUGAGACUGCCGGUGACAAACCGGAGGAAGGUGGGGAUGACGUCAAGUCCUCAUGGCCCUUAUGCGUAGGGCUUCACACGUCAUACAAUGGUCGGUACAGAGGGCUGCCGAACCCGCGGAGGGGAGCCAAUCCCACAAAACCGAUCGUAGUCCGGAUGCAGUCUGCAACUCGA
rnacentral:rRNA from 1 species